rnacentral:rRNA from 1 species
UACGUAGGGGGCAAGCGUUGUCCGGAUUUAUUGGGCGUAAAGAGCGCGUAGGCGGCUUUACAGGUCCGUUGUGAAAACUCGAGGCUCAACCUCGAGACGCCGGUGGAAACCGUAAGGCUAGAGUCCGGAAGAGGAGAGUGGAAUUCCUGGUGUAGCGGUGAAAUGCGCAGAUAUCAGGAAGAACACCCGUGGCGAAGGCGGCUCUCUGGGACGGUACUGACGCUGAGACGCGAAAGCGUGGGGAGCGAACAGG